UAAGGAAUAUUGGUCAAUGGACGCAAGUCUGAACCAGCCAUGCCGCGUGCAGGAUGAAGGCCCUAUGGGUCGUAAACUGCUUUUGUACGGGAAAAAACCCCUCUACGUGUAGAGGGCUGAUGGUACCGUAAGAAUAAGGAUCGGCUAACUCCGUGCCAGCAGCCGCGGUAAUACGGAGGAUCCAAGCGUUAUCCGGAUUUAUUGGGUUUAAAGGGUGCGUAGGCGGAAUAGUAAGUCAGUGGUGAAAGCCUACAGCUUAACUGUAGAAUUGCCAUUGAUACUGCUAAUCUUGAGUAUAGAUGAAGUGGGCGGAAUGUGUCAUGUAGCGGUGAAAUGCUUAGAUAUGACACAGAACACCGAUUGCGAAGGCAGCUCACUAAACUAUAACUGACGCUGAGGCACGAAAGCGUGGGGAUCAAACAGG
rnacentral:rRNA from 1 species